rnacentral:rRNA from 1 species
UACAGAGGGGGCAAGCGUUGUUCGGAAUUACUGGGCGUAAAGGGCGCGUAGGCGGCCUUCUAAGUCGAACGUGAAAUCCCCGGGCUCAACCCGGAAACUGCGUCCGAUACUGGAAGGCUUGAAUCCGGGAGAGGGAUGUGGAAUUCCAGGUGUAGCGGUGAAAUGCGUAGAUAUCUGGAGGAACACCGGUGGCGAAGGCGACAUCCUGGACCGGUAUUGACGCUGAGGCGCGAAAGCCAGGGGAGCAAACGGG